GCGCAAGGAAAAGGAUAAAAAAAAAUCAACCACAAACUUGAUAUAAUAUAUACAAAUCAUAAAUGCAUAUACAAAUGUCUUUUUAAUUUUUGAAUGUUUCUCUGAUUAACUGCGCCUUCUUCUUCUCGUCGACACUUUUACUGAACACAGGCGGGA
rnacentral:ribozyme from 1 species